rnacentral:rRNA from 1 species
UACGAAGGGGGCUAGCGUUGCUCGGAAUCACUGGGCGUAAAGGGCGCGUAGGCGGCGUUUUAAGUCGGGGGUGAAGGCCUGUGGCUCAACCACAGAAUGGCCUUCGAUACUGGGACGCUUGAGUAUGGUAGAGGUUGGUGGAACUGCGAGUGUAGAGGUGAAAUUCGUAGAUAUUCGCAAGAACACCGGUGGCGAAGGCGGCCAACUGGACCAUUACUGACGCUGAGGCGCGAAAGCGUGGGGAGCAAACAGG